CCAACCUUAGUGUCCCCCCUCCCUUAUGUGGCCCAANACNCCCCGCCCAAACAAGUUUCGUUCCACAUUUUUUGUUUUAUUCGAAACCCCUUUAAAUGGACCCCCCCCUNCCUCGUAUAGGGUGAACCUUGCGGGAG
rnacentral:rRNA from 1 species